UGUUCUUGCUCAGAAGUUCGGCUGCCACCAUCCCAUCUCAGCAUGUCCCAAGUGGACUCGACACCCAUCCAGGUGGGGCUGUUUCCUGGCUCCCAACCCUGACCCCUCUCCUCACUGUAAUGGCCUGAGCUGCUCAACCCCAACUGAGGAAGACCACAGUCUUCAUCUCUCAAGCACCCAGGACAUGGGUCUCACCCAAUCCAGUCAGCAAACUCCAGGGCGUUGGGGAUGGUGGCACUCAGAAGGAUGAUGGAGACGUGCUCAGGAAGCAUGAUGAGCAUCCCCUCCCACACGACCUCAUGCUGAACACACCGGGAGGCAGACCCCAAAGAGGAGCCUACUGAUGCCCCUUACCUAAAACCUCGC
rnacentral:lncRNA from 1 species